UUCCUUCCUGUCGAUGAGGUUUAGCCUCCUCAUUGACUGGAAGGAAUCCCUUCCAAUCGAUGAGGAAGCUAUACCUCAUCAACAGGAAGGAA
rnacentral:miRNA from 1 species